AUCUGUAUAGGAGUCGGGAGGGGAGGGCAGAGGGGAUGCUCCACAGCUCCUGGUCCUUAGGCACCUCAGUGCUGUAACGAGAGGGUCCAGAGCAGGAACUCUGCUCCCUCCAACUUCUCCAGGGGUAAGCUACCUUGUUCUCCAUGUUCCCUAACUCAAGCGGAACCUUCACAGCCUCCGCCUGCCUCCAUUGUCUCCUCACACAGGAACAGCAUUCUGAGUGCCUCUGGGUUUUAAAACAGGCUCUUGCUAGGUAGCAAAGCUGACCUAGACUCACAAUCACCGUGACUGCUACACUGGAAACGCAGACACAUUUGUGUCUCCCACACCAUCAGGUUUUAUCGCAGCAUUUGUCACAAUUUACCAAGUAAUCCCAAUCUUCAAUAGUUGGCCAUUGUCAACCACAUGUUCUCAUAGCCUAAUCUUAAUUGCAGAUAUUAACUCUCAGGUCAUACUUUGCAAAAUGGCUACAGAAGCGUUACUGAGAUGGUGGAGUUCAAAGAGGUCUUAGUGGGGCCAGGGUCAAGACUGCUGCAGACACCAAGCACAAAAGGGUCAUUGCGGGUGUGAAGACCGCCUGGAGAGCUGCUGGAGGCAAGCAGUCCUGCAACAGGAAGCCCAAGACCAGGUCUGGAUAUGUGAAGAGUAAUUCAGUAACUAAGCAGGUUCUGUCAGACAGCCAGGACCACGAUGCGCUGAAGCUCUGAGGAUCUUCUGGAACUCUCUCCUAUUGAUUCUUUCUGCACUGGGUGAUUGGAUAACAGGUCAGCAAGACCAUCACAGAUCACAAUGGAUGUUUAUGAACGAUGGAUGCUAACACCAUGAACAAGGAUCUGUUUAAGGCUACUCUAUUUCUUGGAUCUACACUCAGAAGUAGAAUUGCUGGAUCAUGUGCUAGCUGGGUCUAUGUUUAACUUUUUCAGGAGUUGCCAAACGAUUCCCUCAGCAACCCCCCGUGGAAGUUUGAUGAAGAUGGUUUUAUAAUGGGAUUUGGCAGUGAGCGUUACUGUAUCUAUUUUUUUUUAUUCUCUCAUAUUUACCUAUUUUUCUCUGAGGGUUUCUAAAAGUCCUUUUAGUUCUUUUUUUUUUUUCUUUUAUCUGUUUAACUAUGCUGUGCCCGAGGGCGGUUCUGAAUUGAGACUCUAUUAAUUGCCUAGCUUGGGCUAACAAAAAGGUUGGGGGAGUGCCAAUUCAUCCUCCCAUUUUCCAACCUUCUUGAGCUGUACUGUGGGUCCAGCAAAAAUGAUGUCAGCUACUCAUUUGUGGAAACCUUUGUCACCUUCUUCAGCGUGAACCCAUCCCCACCCCACCCCACCACUGGUAGGAGCUAAUCAGAGCCUACCUACUGGACACCACUAGCUCCUGGGGGUAGCACAGGAAGGGCCUCUGUUGCUUGUGUUGAUUUUCAUGUUCAUUCCUAACAAUGUCACCUUGCAGUGCACACACACGUGCACACAUCUCAGAAUCUGGUACAUUCGGACAUGAAGCCUUCAGGACACUCACCUAAUAGUUUCAUCAUGAGGAUACAAUAUAUUCAGUGAAACACAUUGGGACUAGGGAUGUGGCCCUCACUGGUCUCCAGGUGACAGUACUUGCCUAACAAGGGCUCUGUCUUUAACACAACAAAUGCACACCACAUGAACUGAUCCGUUUAAUGAAUAAUUAUAAACAUCCUUGCCCUACCACCAGCUUAAAGAGAACACUCUCCAGUUUUAUCCCCCCCUGAGAGACUGGGACCAGUGCCGAGCCAUCCCUCCCCUUCCCAAUGGUGCAGCCUUACUCUGAGCUUUAUCAUCUCCCUCUCUGUUCUCCCUCUGAAGCUUCGCGCAUCUCUGAAGACACGGUUUCUGUUUUGCUUGGUUUGAACUUCACAUCAAGGAAAUAAUGCUAA